GAAGAGUGACCCGCGAGCGGUAGCGGAGGGAACCCGGUGCGAGUCCGGGACGGUCCCGCCACUGUGACCGGGAGAUUCCCCGGGAGUCAGGAGACUCCGGCCGCUCGCGUCGACCGACG
rnacentral:ncRNA from 1 species